CCUAAACUGAAAUAAUAAAAAGGCAACUAACAGAUGGUUUGGAGUUACAUUAUAUUACUGUGCAUUUUACAGCAAAAAUAUUCAUUAAUAAUGCAAGGAAAAAACAAAACUGGCUAAAUAAAUAAAUAAAUAAAUAAAUAAAUAAAUCAAGCUAAAUUAAGGUAAUAUAGCGCUAUAAUAAACCCAAAUAAUUAUUCAUAUAUCAUUAUUCCACUAUUACAGAGCAAAAAGGUCAAUAUAGUUAUUAAUAGGAUACAUUACAGCACUGUAUAUAUAAUAAUAUAUACAACAAUAACUAUAUAUAAUAUGAAAUCUAUAACGUGAGGUGAACCCUUUUAACCCUCAAGUGUGUGCCAACUGACUGUCGCGAAAAAAGCUUUUUCAAAGGGAAAAAAGUGACGUACAAUUUCAAUCAUUAAGACCGCGAAGCGAAUCAAAUCCGGCGGAUUUACAGACGCCGCGGUCGGCGCGGUGUCUGUCGUACGCUUGUAUUUAAGAUCAUAAAUAGACGGACAGAACGCCAGGCCACGUUCUCCGAGCUUCUCCGAGCGAGAACGUGGAUUAAGCGGGUCAAGAGUUCAGCGUCGGGGUUCGGAUUUCUCCAGAGAGCCGACGUCCUGCUUCAUCGGUUACUCUUAAUUCCUUUUCAUUUGGUUUAUGUAAAUCUCGGGGAAACGCAUUACGUCUCGCAGCCUCGUUUAUUAAACCACAAAAGACACGAAGUUGUUCAUCAGAGUUUGUCGCAAACCUGUUCUCAUUUAGACUGAGCGAUGUGUGUGUGUGUGUGUGUGUGUGUGUGUGUGUGUGGUUUCUUCUGCCCGAACAUCCAGCAGGGAUAUGCUCAUCUGGAGACGAACUCUAAUGAGGCAAAUAAUGAUUUGUGUCUUCCAACGAGAUCCUCCAGUGAAGGAGUAAACGGAUUACGUAAAUACAAUAAAUACAGAUAAUCGUACAAUUCCCUUCGCCGUGGCUUAAUUACCCCAAACCGACGCCAUGCACUUUAUUUAUUUUGAUUCAGUAAUGGCAUUGCAAUCAAUUAGGCCGUAAUGCUGCCAGCUGCUUUCUGCGUGUGUGUGUGUGUGUGUGUGUGUGUGUGUGCAGCUGUUUAGCUGAACUGAACCACAUUAACCGUUAUUAAUGGAUAAAUGAUUUCCCCUCUCUCUGAACGCAUACGUGAGUAAGUGUGUGUGUGUAGACGUGUGUGUGUUGUGUUCUGAUUUGGAUCAGAUACGAAGGCGCAGGAGAUGCGGUCGUGGUACGGGUUAAAGGGAGUGAUGGGGAUUUUAAAGAAAAGCUGAAUUUCAGCCGGUGAUGUUUCUCAUUCUGUAAAAACUUUAUUGACUCGUGUCUGUUUCCCGAAGAGAGAGUCGGCACCGUCGAACACCGCGUUUAGACUUUUUCACGCUCGGUUGAAGUUAUAAAGAACGAAAGGCCCAGAUCCGGCCCAGAUCCGGCCCACGCCUGACACGUUCAUCCGGCCCACAUACCGCGUGGAAUGAUGACACUUGGGCGGUCCGCUCCGGGUUGCCAGAUUUGGGCCAGAAGCAAGCCGUAGCAAUGCCGCAUGCGCAACACUUUUUGCAAAGGUGGCCCACAUUUGUUUUGUGAUAUUUGGGCCAUAUUCACUAUUCCCCACACGGGCCGCUUUAGGGUCACGUCCAGAUCACACACUGCCGUGAGCGCCGCAUCGCUGCCUAAAAAGAGAAACGCUUGUGAUUCAGGAUAUUUGGGCCAUAUUUGCUUAUUUUUGUCCGAGCCAAAAGAAGGCCAGCAGCACUGCCUGAAGUGGCCCACAUCCGCAUGCCAUCUGGGCGUGGCCAAGCUAAUCUAACACAUGAUUGGGUGGUAGUUACACCCAUCGACUCGGACACACAAGUAACAAACAAGCCAUCAAUUUGCUAGUGAGUAAUUCUUGUAGACGUUAUAAAGUCCGUACGGGAUUUCACCAAGUUUAUUUUGUGAUCGGCCGACCGAAGACGCUCGCUUCUGCAAAGACUUUUUCGCAGCGAUGUUAGUUGGUAAACGAGACCUUUUAGCCGUACUCGUGUAGGACGCACGUGAAUCGAAGACGGCUUCGACCGAACACGUGUCGCGGCGACGUCACGUGACGCAUGACUUGACAACGGAAAUAGUUAGUUGUUGCGUAACGUGACUCGCAGCUCAGGUUCUGUCUUUGUUGCUGGUGUUUAUGCAAAAAUCCCUUAAAAACCCCAACGAGUGUCAUGUUCACGUUCUCCAUCACGGUAAAUACCUCAUGCAUUUUCAGGCAGUCUAACCACACACACACACACACACACACACACACACACACAGGCUCCCUGCGAGCGCCUUUAAAUGAAAGCAUGUUUAAUUAAUGAUGCUGAAGUUCUCCGUCACAAUUAAGAAGAUGAACGGUCAAACAAGGCACCGGAGAAAAGCCCUGACGAUGAAAAGUUUGUCUUCCUAAAGUGCUGCUGAGGAUACAGUAACCUGACACACACACAAACACACACACUUUUACUGCACUUGACACUGACAGAUAUGACAGGAGGAUUUAUAGCGGAGCUGAAACACCUCGCGUUCAGCGUGAUGUAUGUGACUAUAAAAAAUACGAAUAAAUUAAAAAUGAAAAAAAAAAAAUGCUGUCCAUCAUUUAAUAGCUUCGAGGAGAAAAUACGACUCGAGGCUUCGUCUCCAACACGCAGCUCCAUGCCGACUCUAAACAUAUAAACAAGCUUUCGUGCUUGUUCUGUGCAUGCUGUGAUCUCAUGUGUUACCCAUAAUGCACUGCGAGCAGAUCGUCGUAAUAUAGGCAGACAGCGGCGGACGUGCGUAAGACGUGAACUCACGACGUUCUGACAGGAGUGUGUAACAGCUAGUGAUUGUGAUUUAGGUUUUGGUGAACAAACCCGAGUCAGUAAUUCUUAAUAACAAAAAUACCGAUCAGUCUGGGUUAGGGUUAGCCUCGGGUUAGGAGUAGACUAGGAUUAGGAUUAGCCUAGGGUUAGGGUUAGCCUAGGGUUAGGGAUUAAAGUUAGCCUAGGGUUAGGGGUUAGGGUUAGGGUUAGCCUAGGGUUAGGGAUUAGGGUUAGGGUUAGCCUAGGGUUAGGGAUUAGGGUUAAGGUUAACCUAGGGUUAGGGUUAGGGUUAGGGUUAAGGAUUAGGGUUAGCCUAGGGUUAGGGUUAGCCUAGGGUUAGUGAUUAGGGUUAGGGGUUAGGGUUAGCCUAAUCCAAACCCAGUCUCAUGACGUUAUUAUUAUCAUAUCGAUGCGAUGUUGUAUACGGCGCUAUCGUGUGCUAGUUAGCCUUUUAGCAAGUAAGCAGACAAUUAGCCAGCUGUGAUACGAUAGAAUAAAACGAUGAUUUAUUUUUAGCGUCAGGGUUCUGGGAGGUAAUUAAUCUGAUGACGGUUCAGGAAAAAGCUUCCUCGGUUCUCUAAACAGAGAGGAGAAGGCGAGUAAAAAUGGAGCGAGAGAGAGAGAAAGAGAUGAGAGAGACGCAAAAGGCACAGAGACAGAAAAGAAAGACAAAGAGAGAGAUAAUAAUAAUAAGAAGAAGAAGAGGCAGAUAGAGACCCAGAAGAGAAACUGAAGAGAUCGAGACAGAGAAGGAAGGAAAAGAAGAGACAGACCGAGAGUGAGACAGUCCGAAGGAGAGAGAGAGAGACAGAAACAGAAAAGUAGAGUGAGACAGAGAGAGUGAGACAGACAAGGGAAGGUGUCAAUUAAAGGAAUGAAGGCUGGUGUGUGUGUGUGUGUGUGGUGUUGACAGCUGGCUGGAGUCGAGCUGACAGCCGUCACAUUAAGCAGCUUUGGUGGCCUGCACACACGCGCACACACACACACACACACACACACACACACACACACACACACGUCUGAAAGUGGAGGCUCUGGUGCUGCAGUGAUUAGCGUUGAACCCCUGCAGCUAUCGCUAAUAACAGUUAUUAGCAUCUGUAGAGUUCUGGGAGAGUUUUUACACUCUGAUCAGGUUUAGAGUUUCAACAACCACCGAACAACCCCUGAACAUCCACUGUAUGACCACAGAAAACCCCUGUAUAACCACUGAACCAGCACACAACCACUGAACCGGCAUGGAACAUUCACAGUACAACCACAAAAAAUACUGUACAAGCACAGAAGCACCACUGAACAACCAGCGUACAGCUACAGUACAACCCCUGAACAUUCACUGUACAAACACUGAACAACCAACAUACAACUAGAGUACAACAACCGAAUAACCCCUGAACAACCCCUUAACAUUCACUGUACAACCAGCAUACAACAACACAACCACAAACUAAACAACCACAAAAAACACUGUACAACCGCUAAACAGCCGCUGAGUACUGACAGUACAGCCGCACUCUUUCUGAGACAGCGCUGUUUAAAAUAAUCUCUUUACCACAAACAGACAGGAAGUAGCUGAUGUGGUUCACUGUAAUGAUUUCUUCAGUGUUAAUUCUUUAUUGAUUGAUUUUUUUUUCCCCAUUAAUAAAUAAAUGUUUUUUCUUUGUUUUUUUUACAACAUAAAAUAACGUUCUUCAGAUAUGAAAUAAAGUAUGAUCAAACAGGUUUUUUUAGAAUGCUACACCAGCGUGUCGCUGUCGUGUUCGUACACACAGCGUAUCAGGAUGCACGCCGCGUCUCGCACAGACCCGCGUGACGAUCCGGAUCUGAUCUCAUGGUAUCUCCAGAUCGUACUGGACCUGGAGCUUUCGCUCCACAUUAUUAUUUUAAUCCCUCAUUUCAAAAAGAAAAAGACGGAGAAAGAACAAAGUCCUUUUCUGAACUUGUGGAAAAAUGUUUCAAUGUAGAGAGCCACAGAGUAUACAGUACAGAACUAUACAUAUAUAC
ensembl:lncRNA